GCUGGAUAAGGGAGCUCUUCUCCUGCUCCGUGCAAGAGCUGGUGGGAGAAGCCAAGGUGACUAGUAGCACAACGGUCAAACCAAAGAAAGGUAUGGGAAACUGGUUCCUGUGCGAAUGACUAAGCGGCUGCAUGGUUUUCUUGAGAAACUAGCUUGGAAACUUAGCUUUGGUCUGCCAGGAUGAACUGCUAAUUUAUCUGAUGAAGAAAGAGCAAGAGAGGAAAGGAGCAACCUGCUCUGCUCUCCAUUUUGUUUGAUCCGGUCUCUGGUCGUUAGUUAUAAAAAGAAAAUUUGGGUCAAGGAUUAGCUGCUAUUGCUUGUCCUAUCUACUGUAGUUUAUUGUUGUAGUCAAGUAGACCGGCCCAAGAGAAGAAAAAGAGGACUAGCCCUGGCGCAGAGGCUCCUCAGAGUUCGGAGUGCACUGCGUGCACCGGUGGAAUGAUGCUAGGGAAGCACGGCUAUUGAGUUGUUGACGUGCGCUCCCAAGUAGGUUUUCCCCUCAUAAAAAGGCAAGCAAAUGGACGGCAGCACUCUGUAACCUUGUGGAUACGGCACACUCAACACUGCAGCUGCCAACAUUUAUUUCAACUCCAAUUAUUCUAUGACCAUCACGUCUCAGUACUACCUCGCUCGCGGAACGCAGCAGGGCAGCCAAGAAAGUUAUAAGAAGAGGUGCAGGGCAACGUUUGAGAGCAUACCUUUCUCGGCCUUUUGGCUAAGAUCAAGUGUAGUAUCUGUUCUUAUCAGUUUAAUAUCUGAUAUGUGGGCUAUACGCCCACAAUGAUAUUAAAUUUAUUUUUUGUGCGGAAGGGCCCAUCACACUAGCUUGCUAGUGGGGCCUUUAGGUGUCGCCCGGGCGUUGCACUACUGCCCAGGCUAGGCGUACCCCAACCAAUACAAAAUAAAACAAGUUUCUUUAGUUGUUUGUUUUGACUGAUCAUGUAUUUAGGAUUAAUGUUUUGUGCUUAAUGGCCUCCCACUCUCAGGCAUCUUUUCUUGAAUCAAAAGAAACCAGAUGCUCUUGUACAUCUCUUUUCUUUCUGAAAAGGAGGCAAAAGACACUGUUCCGCUAAACAUAAUAGCACUCACAAGGCUUCAGUCUGAUGGCAAGAAGAGGUGCAGUUAUGUACUCCCUCUGUUCCUAAAUAUAAGUCUUUUUAGAGAUUCCAACAAGAGACUACAUACAGAGCAAAAAUAGUGAA